rnacentral:rRNA from 1 species
AGCAGCCGCGGUAAUUCCAGCUCCAAUAGCGUAUAUUAAAGUUGUUGCAGUUAAAAAGCUCGUAGUUGAAUUUCGGGGUUAGUAGGUUGGUCAUGCUUCUGGUAUGUACUGGUCUCACUGAUUCCUCCUUCCUGAUGAGCCGUAAUGCCAUUAAUUUGGUGUUGCGGGGAAUUUGGACUGUUACUUUGAAAAAAUUAGAGUGUUUAAAGCAAGCUAACGCUUGAAUACAUUAGCAUGGAAUAAUGAAAUAGGACGUUCGAUCCUAUUUUGUUGGUUUCUAGGAUUGACGUAAUGAUUAAUAGGGAUAGUUGGGGGCAUUAGUAUUCAAUUGUCAGAGGUGAAAUUCUUGGAUUUAUUGAAGACUAACUACUGCGAAAGCAUUUGCCAAGGAUGUUUUCAUUAAUCAAGAACGAAAGUUAGGGGAUCGAAGACGAUCAGAUACCGUCGUAGUCUUAACCAUAAACUAUGCCGACUAGGGAUCGGAUGAUGUUAAUUUUUUAANG